GGGACUAUAGUUUAAGAAGAAGAAUAAAAAUUUUGUAAAUUUUUGGUAGGUGAUACUUGGUUCUU
rnacentral:tRNA from 1 species